rnacentral:rRNA from 1 species
AGCGAACGCUGGCGGCAGGCCUAACACAUGCAAGUCGAACGGACCCUUCGGGGUUAGUGGCGGACGGGUGAGUAACACGUGGGAACGUGCCUUUUGGUUCGGAAUAGCUCCUGGAAACGGGUGGUAAUGCCGAAUGUGCCCUUUGGGGGAAAGAUUUAUCGCCAUUAGAGCGGCCCGCGUCUGAUUAGCUAGUUGGUGGGGUAAAGGCUCACCAAGGCUACGAUCAGUAGCUGGUCUGAGAGGAUGACCAGCCACAUUGGGACUGAGACACGGCCCAAACUCCUACGGGAGGCAGCAGUGGGGAAUCUUGCGCAAUGGGCGAAAGCCUGACGCAGCCAUGCCGCGUGAAUGAUGAAGGUCUUAGGAUUGUAAAAUUCUUUCACCGGGGACGAUAAUGACGGUACCCGGAGAAGAAGCCCCG